rnacentral:rRNA from 1 species
UACGUAGGGUGCGAGCGUUAAUCGGAAUUACUGGGCGUAAAGCGUGCGUAGGUGGUUCGUUGUGUCUGUGGUGAAAGCCCCGGGCUUAACCUGGGAAUGGCCAUGGAAACUGGCGAGCUGGAGUCUGGCAGAGGGGGGUGGAAUUCCGCGUGUAGCAGUGAAAUGCGUAGAGAUGCGGAGGAACACCGAUGGCGAAGGCAGCCCCCUGGGCUAAGACUGACGCUGAGGCACGAAGGCCAGGGGAGCAAACGGG